rnacentral:lncRNA from 1 species
AGAAGACGGUUCGAAGCAAAUAUUUAUUCUACUGACCAUCUAUAUCUACACAUACACAUACACAUGUUUGGUCUCCGUAAGUUAAUAUGUAAAAUAUAGAGAAGAAGAUGAUGGAUGAUAUAAACACAAGUUAGAAUCAUCAGAUAAGGUUUUUAAAGUGAAAAAAUAUAGUCGAUUUAUGUUGUUGUAAUAAAAGGUAACUUUUUCAACUUUAACCCUUUUGGAUAUGUUAU